rnacentral:lncRNA from 11 species
CCCCAAACCCAUCCCCCCCUACACGCGCCGCUUUUGGUUUUCGGCCGCUCGCGCGCCCCCUCAUCUUCUCAGCGGGACUGUGGCAUGUCCUAACACAAAAAGGGGGGGGGGGGGAGAAAGACAGAGCGAGAGAGAGAGAGAGAGAGGGGGGGGUCAAGCAAGUCCGCUCUGCUCCCCCUUGAGAGCGUUUAGCAACACGCUGAGGAGAAAAGGAACCACCCAAACAAUAAUCGGUAUAAGAAAAAGUACUGGUAUUGAUGAUUUUCCCCUGCUUCAAUCAAGAGAAGUAUUUUCCCAAUCUUCUAUGUUUCUAGCAUCAAAGCAAGAAUUUCUGACCAACAAAUGUUCAUCCAGGAAUGAAGAAGGUACUUUCAGGAGAGCCAGAUGUACCAUUGGGCCAAGGCAACAGCUUCAGAUGCCAGAUGCUGGAGGGCAGCGGUGGAGUCACACAGAUGUUCUUCAUGAAUUUUGCAUCUUCUGCUGAGAAGUCUUUAACCAAACAAUCAUUUCCGCAUCUGGGUCCACAGCUGUUUCCCAAAUACCCGAAUAACUUUUCCCUAUAAGAGCAUUUGCUUUUUGACUGUGUGCAGUCUUGUGUUUGUGUCUGACCGCCUUUCCAUGUGUUUGCAUUCAUACUUUUGAUCCUGGUGAGAGUGAGAUGCAUUUUCUCAAUGAUGCCGAUUUGAAAUAAUGUGGUGUUUAUCAUGUUUGGGUCAGAUGAAGUUAAACCUGCUAUGGCCAGUGUUGGGAUUAAGUGUGAGACACAUAAAGGAAAAGCGCUUGAUUCCCAAUUUAUGAAUGAAUGAGUGAAGCUUUAUUUAUAUUAUACUAGCUGUGCCCAGCCACGCGUUGCUGUGGCAAUGUGUGGUGGUAUGGGAAAUAAAGUAUUGAGGAAUUGGUGGUUGGUAGUAUAUGUUAUUUCCUAACGCUUGUGAAUAUACAAUAUUUCUGGUUGUUCCUUUUUUUGUCUUUUUGAGGCAAGUAUGACUGCUGCAAUUAGCCAGAAUGAUUAGCAUGUAAUGGCCUUUCACCGUCAAAGCCUGGCUGCUUCCUCCCUGGGGGAAUCUUUUGUUGGGAGGUAUUAGCUGGCCCUGAUUGUUUCCUGUCUGGAAUUCCCCUAUUUUCAGAGUGUGGUUCUUUAUUUACUGUCCUGAUUUUAGAGAUUAUAUUGUUCUGUUUUAUUAUGCCACAGUAAUUUUUAUAUAUUGUAUUUAUAAUCUUAUAUUAUUUGCUUUGAACUGGAUUAUAUGAGGCGCCUUCUACACAACUGUAAAAACAUCCACAUUGAACUGGAUUGGAUGGCAGUGUGGACUCAAGAUAAUCCAGUUCAAAGCAGAUACUGUGGAUUAUCUGCCUUGGCAAUCUGGGUUAUAUAGCUGUGUGGGCCUUGGGUCUACACUGUCAUAUAAUCCAGUUCAAAUCAGAUAAUCUGUAUUUUAUAGGCAGUAUGGAAGAGGCCUAAGUGAACCCUCAGCCAUUGUGGCUGAGGCAGUUGCUAGGACACGAAGCGAGUGAGGCCUAAAGGGGGUGGAGCCUACCUUUCUGACUGGCAGCCAGGGGAGAACGGUUCUUCCUCGUCCUCUGUAAUUUGGACUUUAUUUUUCUAGGUUUUUUUAUUGAAAGAUAUAGAUUGGAUGACUAUGUCUUUUGUGGCCAAAUUUGGUGUGAUUUGGUUCAGUGGUUUUGUUGUUUACUCCAUGGGAAAAACGCACAUUACAUUUAUAUAUAUAUAGAUUAUAUUUAUAUUAUAUUUUAGCCGCCCCGGGUCCCUGCGGGGAGAUGGAGACGGAGUAUAAAAAGUUGUUGUUGUUGUUGUUGUUAUUGUUAUUAUUAUUAUUAUUAUUAUAUCCCAUCCCAUCUCCCAAAGGGACUCGGAGCGGCUUACAACAAGACAACAGUAUAAAUGAUAAUAAAACACAUAACCAAUCAAAUAUAGUUAGAUCACCAGAAAUAAAAGCAAGUCAUAAUAAAUAGGAAGGAGUAGAACUCAAGAAUGUCACACAUCAUGAUAAACUAUGUAAUAAUUAAGCAUAUAAAACAUAUAGACAUUAAAACAAGUGAACAUCAAGAGGACUUCUGACCUGAUCUGCGGUAUAUUGGCCAUACAUUUGUGUUCAAUAACUCUUGAUUUAAGAGAUCCUGAUGUUAGACUUGACUGUGAUUUUAUACUCUCCUGAACACCAGUCAGACCACAUAAUCAACAUGGUUCUCCUGUUUUGAGUCGUGGAAUUCACCAUGGGUCUCUUAAUUUUUCAAUUUAAUUCUGCACUCGGAGGCUGAUGGUUGCAUUUUGGGGGUAAAAUCCAGCAUGGAGUUGGCAUUCCUUGCUUCAAGUUGCUGAACAAGUCCAUAAUUCGACUCCAUUUGCUUCAAUUACUUCUAUUUGAUUUUGUUUACGUUCGAGGUUUGAUUAAAUUUUGCUUAAAAUGAAACUCAUCCAAGGAGCCGUUUAACUUAGUUAAACAAGCAAACCAAGUGAAUUAUUGCCUAAACUGAAGCAGAUGCUUCAUUUCAGCUGUGAUAAUGCUGGCGAGGAAAUUGUUUGGGACUAGGUAGGGUGAAGGAACAGGUAGUGGCUCCAAUGGAAAUGGGACAGUGAGAAGCUUAACAAUUCAGACAUACCUCAAUUAACAAAGCCUCUAAUAUGCUUUGGAGUUGGCCCAACCAAGGUAUUACUGCUUCUGGAUUUUUUAUUUUGUUACAUUCCUCAACUUGCAUCUUUUGAGAAACCCUCUGGGGAGAUGGAGGUGGGAUAUAAAAAUAAAAUUAUUAUUAUUAUUGACACAAAGACACAGUAUGACACAGCAAACAAGACAUAUAUUUUGUCUGGGCUGUGGCGCAGCUGGCUAGUAACCAGCUGCUAUAAAUCACUACUGACCGAGAGGUCAUGAGUUCGAAGCCCAGGUUGGGGUAAGCCUCCGACCAUUAAAAAAAAAAUAGCCCCAGCUUGCUGUUGACCUAGCAGCCCCGAAAGACAGUUGCAUCUGUCAAGUAGGGAAAAUUUAGGUACGCUUUAUGCGGGAGGCUAAUUUAACUAAUCUACAACACCAUAAAUCUGCUCACGAGGAAAAGAAUGAGGAAGAACAACCACCAAUGGACGGUGAAGCAACAGCUCCCCUGUGGCCGGAAUCGUGAAGCUGGAAAGAUGUUAAAAAAUGCCUCUGUGUCUGUCUAAAACUGAAUGUUGUUUGUCUGUUGGCAUUGAAUGUUUGCCAUAUAUGUGUUCAUUGUAAUCUGCCCUGAGUCCCCUUCGGGGUGAGAAGGGCGGAAUAUAAAUACUGUAAAUAAAUAAAUAAUAAAUAUAUGCUGGAUUUUUAAUAAUUUAUUAUAAGUAUGACCAGAGCCGGCCCUAGGUAUUUUUCAAGUGUAGGCAAACAGAAUUUUGGCACCCCCCCCCCAAACCAAUCACUGAAAAAUAAAAGCGUUGGAUAAGCAAAUA